rnacentral:rRNA from 1 species
AGCGAAAUGCGAUACUUGGUGUGAAUUGCAGAAUCCCGUGAACCAUCGAGUCUUUGAACGCAAGUUGCGCCCGAAGCCAUUAGGCCGAGGGCACGCCUGCCUGGGCGUCACCAAUCGCCGCCCCCGACCCCAGCGCCUCCGGGCGCGGUGCGGGGCGUAUGCUGGCUUCCCGUGAGCACGCUCCUCGCGGUUGGCUGAAAAUCGGGUUCGUGGCCGAGCGCGGCGCCGUGGCAGAUGGUGGUAGAGUGCGAAAAAAUCUCGAGGCCGGCCAUGCGCGCCUCUCUGCCAAUCACGGACCCCGCGACCCUUCGAGCGACGCCGAUCGCCCGAGAUGCGACCUCAGGUCAGGCG